GGGGCUGUUAUUGGUUUCGACGGUAAGUAUGAGGCUAUGAUUGCAAGUGGAAGGUACUCCUUACGUACAAACAAAAAAUAAAUAACAACAAUAAUAAUUAUGCUUUCGCAGCUUGUGCUGCCUAGUCUCUAAUAGAGAAAGCGCUUCUUUUAAAGUUUUACUCACGGAUUUUUUAAGAGGCUCAUUUUAGUGAGUUAUAUUAUCUUGUUUGUUUAGGAUAAGAUAAAGAAUUUUACUAAACUCGUUAUUUGGUGGGUAUGUUAGUUACCUUUAUCAUUUAAUUAAAUUUAAUUACUAACUAAACUUGUAGACGUCAUAGAGUACUAUUUAUCGGACACGAGUUCAAAUCUCGUCAGCUCCACCA
rfam:Clostridium sp. CAG:594 genomic scaffold, scf153